GCAGAACCAGCAACAAAAUAGAAGAACAAGAUGAAUCGCUCUACAAGCACUUUUGCGACCAUUUAAACGGAGACACUGGGUGAGAAAGCAGGUGUUGUCUACCUGUUACUGUUUAAUAUCACCUGGGGAGGAAGAAGAUGCAUCUCAUCUCCCACAAGAAUGAGCUUGUACGGGUAUGUGUGUGCGCUUCGUUUCGUGUGCGCAUCAAUCUAAUAGCCUGCUGAGACAAAUACACUUUUCUAAAUAUAAAGCUUUGCUAUCAUAGCAACAUUAGUGGCAGAAUGGGGAAACCUGCUGUGUGCUUCAUUUAAUGGCUCAGAGAACCAGCUCUUAAUUAGCUUCGUGGAACUGAUAGAAAUAGACUGGUCAAACUGAGAAAGUCUCGUAUCUAAUGAUGAAGUAAUACUUGUUUGAAUAGCAAAAGAAAUCUGAAGUGGGCUUAGCUUUCAGUGCAAUUCGAUAAAAACAGACAUUUUUAUCCAAAACAAUUAACAGUGCAUUUAAUCGUCACAUUUAGAAGAUUGGGAUUCAAUUGGGAUCUCUGGGAUUCAAACCCAUGACCUCUGGGCUACUAAUGCAAUCCUCUACCAAAACAAUCAUCAGGAACCCAAUGAAAUCCACCUCUCAAAUUCAUGGCGAAGGUGAAGCUUAUACGACAGUUCUACGCAAGAACAUGGUUUUGCAACACGUUACUUCUGAAAUUGAACAAGACAUCUGCGUUUUAUUAAUAUUCCGGCCAAUUGUACCUGCCAACCAAUGCGUAUCACAUAAUAAAGCAGAAAUGGCCCCUUAUCACACCUGUGGCAUUGUGGGUAAUGAAACAGUGCAGGCCAACUGUGCAUGCAUGUCUUUCCAGAUGUCGUCUCAAUUAUAAGAUUCAGAUAGAUAUGAAAUCUAAUUGAGCAAUGAGAAAAAGAGACAGAGGAACACGUCUAAGAGUCUUACGAGACUAAUCGCAAACGACAUGAGGAUAUUUUAUACUACCAAAUAGUAAUAACUUGUUUAAUUUGUAUGUAAAUAAGGGAAUAAUCGUUUUUCAAAGCUCUUUUUCAAUGCACUGACAUGGGAACAGAAACAGACACACCUCCAACACACAGAUUAAUGACUACACGGCACACCAUUUAUUUUUUACAGGAUAACAGAAAUGGUGUUCUCAUCAGGUACUGGAACCACUCAAGAACUGUCAAAUACUAAAGCUGCAUUUUUUUACUUUUGACUCUGUGUCGCCAUCUCUGGCACAAACCUAAAAUAGCAGGUUACCCAUAUAAAAAAACUGUGCAAUAAUUUACACUUUAAUUACACUUAGUGCACCUCAAGACUAUUUUUGUAUAUUUGUAUAUUGUACAUUUUUUCAUCUGGGAAUUUACAUACUUAGCUUUAUGUGGGUCAAAUGAUGUUAAACUAACUUAUUAGAGAUGCACCAAUACUACAUUUCUCCACCGAUACGAUAGCCGAUUAUUCAGAGUGAUGUCUACAGAUGCCGAUACUGAAACAGAUUCUGAAGAUUAAAUUAUUAUAUUCUUAACUUUAUCAAUGACUUUAAAUAUUGAACAUCAAACUGGUGAUGUUUCUUAACAUUUUCUAUACAGAACACAAAUUUGUUUCAUAUUUAUGUCCUCUUUUGAUUGACAGGAUAUCUCGGCCUUGAUCAUCGGCUGUUUUUAAACUAUAGCCGAUGGAGUGAAACCAAUACCAAUUUUUGACCGAUAUAUCAUUGCGUCUCUAUGACAUACUGACCCCAAAAAGUACCAUAGAGCUCAAAUUAUAAAUCAUUUCUAGAAGACAGAGAAGUGUAAAAAGGAAAUAUAUUUAAAGAUGCCAUGAAUUAAAAGCACAAUUUUAACCCGAGCUUUUGUUAUAUAAGAGGGAAUCAUAUUCACGCGAACAUCCUGUAAGUGUCAGAACUGAAAACACCCUUGUUACUGAGAUUACAACUGUUAUUGACACCAGGCCCAGUGAACACCAGGUUCUGGAAUGCACCUAUCUAUGACGACAUUGAUAGGUUGAACACCACCUCCACAGAAAGAAUAUCAACGACUACUUCUCUAGCCCCGCCCACUGGUUCGCGCAUGACAAUUCUGAAGUAACACAAGUGGCGCAGAACCAGACAGAGCGAGCAAGCAAUAAACAAACAUGCCGUUAAAGAUAGCUAAAUAUUGUGCCAUCCCUGGUUGUGGAAGAAUACAGUCGCUGCAUAACCUUCCUUCGGAUUCCGAUAUUAGGAAUGCGUGGUUAAAGUUUAUUUUUAAAGAUGUUCCAGCUCGUGGGAAAAACAUGGAGCGUUUGUUUGUUUCAUUUCUCCGAGGAUUCCUUCGUGAACAAGGCACAGGUCGACGCUGGAAUUGUGGAGAGACUAAAACUAAAAAGCAGUGCUGUGCCGUCAAUAUUUGAUCCGAUAGGAAUGGCGAAUGUUACCACAGCGAGCAGGAUGCAGUUCAUGGCCUGACCUGAUGGUAGAGCGGAGAAUGGGAAGUGGGGACCUGACAAGAGCUGAGAUGAUAGAGCUGGAUAAAGAAGGACGCGGUCUCUUGACAUGUCUUCACCACAAAACUUCAAAUGCUAUUAGAUUAUUAAUGAUAAUCUUAAACUAUAAUUUAUUUUAUUAUUAAGUUUAUUUAUUUUAUUUAGCCUUGUUGUGCAAGUUCUCUGGAGCUUGUGCAGAGGCAGCAGCUUUUGCCAGAGGGGAACUGGAAUCCCCUGGUUGGGCCUGGGUUCUCCUGAGGUUUUUUUUCUCGAUUAGAGUUUUGGGUUCCUCGCCACCGUUUGCAUACUGUUUUUGCACUAUCUGCCUGACCGGGGGGGCUGCUUUAGAAUCUUAAAGUUUUACUUAAUUAAUAUUGCAUAUAGGAAUUUAUUAUCUGUUAUAUUUGACCUGUGCUUCUCUCUCCUUUAUCCUAAAUGUGUGCUCUCACUGAGCGUGUGUGUGUGUGCGUACUUGUCUGUGUACGUGUGUGUGUGUGUGUGUGUGUGUGUCUCUGUGUCUGUGUGUGUUGGUGUGUGUGCGUGUUGUGUGUGUGGAGUGUUUUGUGUGUGGGUGUGUCUGUCUUCUGUGUUUUCAACCUUUUCUUGUUUUUGCAGGUACAACUUUGAUUGUUUUGCUUGUAGUCAAUGUGUCUCAUGUACAGCUGCUUUGUAACAAUGAAAAUUGUAAAAGCGCUAUAUAAAUAAAGUUGAGUUGAGUUGA